CAUUUGGGGGUUCUGGUCGAUCAAGAAUGAGCAGGGGCGACACCCCACUCUCAAACCCUAGAAAAGUUCACUAAAACUCUCAAUUGGAGGUGCAAAUCUGGUCCAAAACGAAAUUCGAGCAUAGAUUAUUAAUCCUCAUCACAAGAGGAUUACAAGUUUGACGCGUAACAAGCUAGGUGGAAGCUUGAUGAGGGAGCGGAUCAAACAAAUCAAGAAGGAAAGGAAAAGCAUAGUUCGAAUGCGAAGUAAGUAUAGCUUACACUAGUCAUAUAGUUUAGAAUGUCCUUUUGUUGUUUUGAUUUCGAACAAGACAAAUGGAAAGUUGAGAUAUGGUGUUUGUGGCGUGUAGUCGUACGGAACAAGAUAACCAAUAAGGGUAAAAUUGAAAUUUGGACACUUGUUGACAAUAAUUAUUGGUUUUGAAAGAUACAUAUUUCGUAAGCCUUAUUAGGCCAAAAAGCGUUAAGAGGUGAAUUAUAGUUAAAACGACCGUGCAGUGUAAAUCGGAACGAGUCGUGUAGACGAGAUGGCAAUAAGCUUUAUCUCGCCAAUAUUAUCGGUCAUUUAGACCAACGGGUCAAAAGGUGAAAAUAUCACUUUUGACAAUAUCGACUAAUGGUUUGAUGAGUUGUUUGAUUUCAGAAAUAAAUAUCGAGUGGAUAUUUACAUCGCUAUUACUUAGUAGAUAUUGAGGCAAGGUACUUAAAUGGGUCAAUGUAAUGAUCCGAGCCAGGUACUUUUGGAUGCCGGAAGACGAUCAAGCUCAGCGAAGAACCGAACACGAUAAAGAUACACGCUUCCGCACUUUGCCACGUUGUAAAUUUUAAACAACGAAUUCGAUCACGUUAUGUAGAAUAACUUAUGAUUUGUAAAACUUUUAGUAAACCCGUAUUUCUGAUGUAUAUGUAAUCGUGAUUACAUGAUAGUUUUCGUAAAAGAUUCAUUAAACCUUAAA